rnacentral:rRNA from 1 species
CCCUAUGGGGUGCAGCAGGCGGUACAACGCAUAGUCUCGAAGAGCCCUUUUUUGUCCUUGCGACACAAAAUCCAAUCGAGCAAGAAGGGACAUAUCCUUUACCGGAAGCACAACUUGACAGAUUUAUGUUUGACUUAUGGCUUGGAUAUCCUAAUGCCGAAGAGGAAAAAGAGAUUAUCAAAAAAACGACAGGAAUGUACACUCCCGAAUUGAAUAAUAUUUUUUCAAAGCAGGAAAUAAUUGCAUUUCAAGAUUUAAUAAGGAAAGUUCCCGUAUCCGAUGAAGUGAUUUCAUACACAGUAAAAUUUGUUUCUCAAACAAGACCUGAGUUCAAAUCGUCUCCGGAUUAUAUUAAAAAUUAUAUAAGUUGGGGGGC